GGGGCAUUAGGCAUCAAGAAAGCAUUUUCUGAAGUUGCUCUCCAGACGAGAGAACAUGUCCUUCUCUGCUACUCUCAAUCCUAGCAGGUUAGCAAGGCUCUUCUUGCAGAAUAUAUCGUAGUGUAGAAGAGGAAUAGACCAUUUAAAGGAUUGGGGUUAGAACACAUGAACAAAUCUUGCCCUGUCGUUCCAUCUCAGCUCACAAGUUCUACCCUCAGAAGUAGCCAAUUCCAGACUGAUAUAUUCUGCCUAAGGGAGCAAGAUCUAUUGAUCCAUUUUGCUGCUGAGAUAUCACAGCUUCAAGCACAUGGCCUAAGCAGAGAGUAUGCACUUCUUCAGAGUUAUCAACUUGCAGAAGACUUGGGGAGAUCUUUCUAGGAUUGAGCAAUUUUGCAGAUCUUUUUAGAUGUUGAGGCAGCUGUGUCUUCUGUCCACUUAAGGUAAAUAUCGGU